GUCAGCCUGCCCAGUGGACCCUGUUCAACGGCCGCAGUAUUCUAACUGUGCGAAGGUAGCGUAAUCACUUGUUUUCUAAAUAAAGACCAGUAUGAAAGGCAUCACGAGGAUUAAGCUGUCUCCUCUUUCCAAUCAGUGAACCUAAUCUCCCCGUGAAGAAGCGGGGAUUAAAAUAUAAGACGAGAAGACCCUGUGGAGCUUAAAACCUAUAACACCUGCCUAUUUUUAAUUACACCUCGGUAUUUUACCCUAAAGGCAUCCUGAACAUACGGUUUUUGGUUGGGGUGACCGCGGAGAAAAACUAAUCCUCCACAAUGAAAGGGGACCUCCCCUAAGCAAUAAGUUACAACUUUAUGCAUCAAAAACUGACAUCAUCGACCCAAUAAAUUGAUCAAUGAACCAAGUUACCCCAGGGAUAACAGCACAAUCCGCUUUGAGAGCUCCUAUCGACAAGCGGGCUUAUGACCUCGAUGUUGGAUCGGGAUAUCCUAGUGGUGCAGCCGCUACUAAGGGUUCGUUUGUUCAACGAUUAAAACCCC
rnacentral:rRNA from 1 species